CGCAACGGGAGGAGCGUGCGGUUCAAUUGGAUUCAACGCCGGAAAACUCACCGGGGGCGACGGAGGGAUGAAAGCCAGGCCGAAGACCUUGCCCGAUCCUCCNAGAGGUGGUGCAUGGCCAUCGUCAGUUCGUACCGUAAGGCGUUCUGUUAAGUCAGAUAACGAACGAGACCCUCGCCUUCAGUCGCUAUCCCACGAGUGGUCGUGGGAGCACACUGAGGGGAUCGCUGCCGCUAAGGCAGAGGAAGGAGAGGUCUACGGUAGGUCCGUAUGCCCCGAAUCUCCCGGGCAACACGCGCGCUACAAAGGUGGGGACAAUGGGAUCCGACCCCGAAAGGGGAAGGCAAUCCUGAAACCCCAUCGUAGUCUGGAUCGAGGGCUGUAACUCGCCCUCGUGAAAAUGGAUUCCGUAGUAAUCGCGGGUCAACAUCCCGCGGUGAAUGUGCCCCUGCUCU
rnacentral:rRNA from 1 species